UAUUUAGAUCUGAAUACAUAGGGUCUAAAAGCAAUACGUUGUGAAGUGAAACAUCUCAGUAGCAACAGGAAAAGAAAUCGAAAGAGAUUCCGUGUGUAGUGGCGAGCGAAAGCGGAACAGGCCAAACCAAGAUUUAUCUUGGGGUUAUAGGACUGCAAUGUGGACUUUGAACUGAUAGGAGAAGUAGUUGAAAAGCUACGCGAUAAAGGGUUAUAGCCCCGUAUCUUAAAUUGGUUUAAUACCUAGCAGGAUCCUGAGUACAUCGAGAAACGUUAUCUUGAUGGAAGUCGCCCAGACCAUUGGGCAAGCCUAAAUACUAACUAGUGACCGAUAGCGUAUAGUACCGUGAGGGAAAGGUGAAAAGAACCCAGGGAUGGGAGUGAAAUAGAUUCUGAAACCAUAUGCCUACAACGUGUCAGAGCACAUUAAUGUGUGAUGGCGUGCGUUUUGAAGUAUGAGCCGGCGAGUUAUGAUAGCAAGCAGGUUAACCUUUAGAAGGGAAGCCGAAGCGAAAGCGAGUUUGAAUAGAGCGAAUUAAAGUGUUUGUUAUUAUAGACCCGAAACGGGUUGAGCUAGUCAUGGGCAGGUUGAAGUUAGAGUAACAUCUAAUGGAGGACCGAACCGACUUUCGUUGAAACGACAGCGGAUGACCUGUGACUAGGGGUGAAAUUCCAAUCGAAAUCCGUGAUAGCUGGUUCUCGUCGAAAUAGUUUUAAGACUAGCGUAAGAUCAUGAUCAACUGGAGGUAGAGCUACUGAAUGUAUGAUGGCGCCGCCUUGGUGUACUGAAUACAAUUAAACUCCGAAUGC
rnacentral:rRNA from 1 species